rnacentral:siRNA from 1 species
AGGAUUCUCGAGGGCAGGAACAUU